ACGAGGGCAGCGUGACCGCGGUGGCCGCAGGGCGAGGGAGAGAAGGGAGGCUGGACGAGGGCGGCGUGGCCGCGGUGGCUGGUUGGGUCGCUCCCUCGCUCUCGUGCAGCCGCAUGUCCGACGCCAUGAGAGGGUGCUCCGCGGGGUUCUUCUCCAGCGACAACGCUACAGAGUUCGGCUGUCAACAAGGCCUAGAGCUGGCAGAGAACAAGCACGGAUCGGCUACCUGGAGUCCACUUCCAAGAAAUUUUGUCGGCCACAUUUGAAAGCUGGAUAUUUCUGAGAAGGAACUAAAGGUCAAUGAGCUGACGCAGUUGGGUGGCAUUGCAGAUAUGUUGCAGCCUUGUGAGUCUGAGACUCUAAGUAUAGACAUACAUACACAUACAAGAGCAAAUGCAUGCAUCGAGUCUUCCUCUAGAGAAGGAAAUGAGAUCACGUUGUGCAGCUAAACCUCCAUUUGCGAUGUUGAGCCUUGCUAGCUCAAUUGCUGCAACCCUUCGAAUAUGAAUGUGGACUGUCAAAUGGGUUGCUGCCAUAAGUAGAGCUUUCAUUUCCUGCUCCUGCAAAACAAACAAUGUGGAGCGAGUUAUCUAAUUGUGUCGAGUCUGAAGCUUCCAUGAGCAGCCCAUGGUAUGAUAAUAAAACAAGGUUGCCAUUUUGUUGAGAUUUGUUAGUCCAGUAAGCAAACUUCAGUUUGGGUCUGCACCAUGAUUUCUAAAAGUGAGUUUUAAGAUAUAUUUGAUGUGGACUGCUUCAUAGCAUCAUUGAGAGGACGUUUGAAUGCGGAAAGAGUUGACUCCAUUCUGCCCGUCAGUUGAAGGAGCACGGGUGCCCGGGACGACGACAACGACAAGCCAAAGGAGACACCGUGGAUUCGUUGCCCGCUUCCGCUGCUGCUCGUGCAGACUCUGCACCAACCCGGCCUUGAACUACCCCAUCUUAUAUACACAACGCCCCCAAUUUUUAGCCACCAAGGCCAUGGACUGGGACCUGUGUGUUCAUUUGAAGUGUUGGUUUGAGAGAUUUUUGUGCCCUGACAAUGAGUGAGGCACUUGUGAUAUUGCAAGUCCUGAUACAAGGCAUGUCCUCUUUUUUAUCCAUAAACUUUGCAAUGUCCAUCUAUUGUACUCCCUUCGUCCCAAAAUAAAUGUCUCAACUUUGUACUAACUUUAGUACAAAGUUGUACUAAGGUUAAGACACUUAUUUUGGGACGGAGGGAAUAAGAAUUACUGAGAAAUAUUCUCCAUUGAGCAUAUUGCAUUUGGGUCUUUGAGAAGAUUUAAUAUUAUGGAGUUUUGCUAUAUGGGAUUAUGAUCAAGGUGGAUUUGGGAAUUUCUGAUAGAUUACAGUGAUGCUACAUCAAACCGUGCAAUUUAUAAAUUAGACCACUUACUUAGUUUUUUUUAGAAUAAGACCAAUCACUUUAUUAGAAAGGUAAAUGUUGGCUUCUCCUGGUUGUGCUUGUAGUGCUUGUAGGACAUUUUAUGAGGGUGCAACGAGUU